rnacentral:tRNA from 1 species
GAGGGCAUAGCUCAGUGGUAAAGUGCAUGCUUAGCAUAUAUAAGGUCCUGGGUUCAAACCCCAGUGCCUUCA